UGAAAAUCUAUUCUUUUAUUCAUACAAUGCUGGUGAGAACGUGUUUCAUCGUUGUCGAUGUGGAUAGUGUGUGGCUGUGUCUUUAAAAAUUCCUGAUCGUUGGUUGUCUCAGUAACCCGGAAGCGUCCUGGCUUCCGUAUCACUACGAUUCCUUCCUGUUUUAUAAACAACAAGGAAGCUAAGGAUACUGGACAGUCGAUAGUAAUGGCCAACCUACAGUGACCCACGAGACCAGGAGACCCAUGCUUACUCAUCUUUGUGCGUUCCUGCCAUUCAUUCUGUGGAUAACCAUGGCCCAGGUUGCCGGCCAAGAAGAUAAGGAGAAAACAACCGCCCUGAAAGAUCUGCUAUCCAGGAUCGACUUGGAUGAGCUGAUGAAAAAAGACGAGCCCCCCCUCAUCUUCCCCAAGACCCUGGAGGAGUUUGAGUACGCCUUCAACGAGCGUGAGUGCGACAACAGGCACUCGUGUUGCGUCCUAUACAUGUUGUUCACCAGUCC